rnacentral:rRNA from 1 species
UAGGGAAUCUUCGGCAAUGGGGGCAACCCUGACCGAGCAACGCCGCGUGAGUGAAGAAAGGUUUUCGGAUCGUAAAGCUCUGUUGUAAGAGAAGAACGUGUGUGAGAGUGGAAAGUUCACACAGUGACGGUAACUUACCAGAAAGGGACGGCUAACUACGUGCCAA